GAAUACUUUGCAUUGGCAGCACAGCCUACAUGCAUCAGUGCUCAGGAUGAUAUUUAAAAUCCUCAACCACCUGAACAUCUUGUGAAUGAGAACAGUUGUGGUAUUUUGUAGCGAUGACCUUCAUCACCUUAAUCCUGACAAUGCUCCUCUGUCUACAUGGAUCCAGAGGCCAGUACACUGUGACUCAGACCCCAUCAGCUGCUGCUCCUGGACAAACAGUGUCCCUGAACUGUAAAGUCAGCAGUAAUGUUCAUGGCAACAACUAUCUGCACUGGUACCAUCAGGUAUCUGGAGAGCCUCCUAAACUCCUGAUUUACACUACUAGCAAUCGCCAGUCAGGCACUCCAUCUCGAUUCAGUGGCAGUGGAUCUAGAAGUGCUUUCACUCUGACCAUCAGUGGAGUCCAGACUGAAGAUGCAGGAGAUUACUGUCAGAGUCUCCACAGUGGUCCUGUGUUCACACAGUGAUACAGAGCCGUACAAAAACCUCCCUCGGUGAGAUAGACGUGACUGCACUGCUGCAACAGAGACUUUCAGCAGGUGUGAGGGGGGAUCAGUUGUAUA